UACGAAGGGGGCUAGCGUUGCUCGGAAUUACUGGGCGUAAAGGGCGCGCAGGCGGUUCUGUUUGUCGAGUGUGAAAGCCCCGGGCUCAACCUGGGAACGGCGCGCGAGACGGGGGGGCUGGAGUUCGGGAGAGGAGCGUGGAAUUCCCAGUGUAGAGGUGAAAUUCGUAGAUAUUGGGAAGAACACCGGUGGCGAAGGCGGCGCUCUGGACCGAGACUGACGCUGAGGCGCGAAAGCGUGGGGAGCAAACAGG
rnacentral:rRNA from 1 species